rnacentral:rRNA from 1 species
GAUGAACGCUGGCGGCGUGCCUAAUACAUGCGAGUCGAGCGAACAGACGAGGAGCUUGCUCCUCUGACGUUAGCGGCGGACGGGUGAGUAACACGUGGAUAACCUACCUAUAAGACUGGGAUAACUUCGGGAAACCGGAGCUAAUACCGGAUAACAUGUUGAACCGCAUGGUUCAACAGUGAAAGACGGUCUUGCUGUCACUUAUAGAUGGAUCCGCGCCGCAUUAGCUAGUUGGUAAGGUAACGGCUUACCAAGGCAACGAUGCGUAGCCGACCUGAGAGGGUGAUCAGCCACACUGGAACUGAGACACGGUCCAGACUCCUACGGGAGGCAGCAGUAGGGAAUCUUCCGCAAUGGGCGAAAGCCUGACGGAGCAACGCCGCGUGAGUGAAGAAGGUCUUCGGAUCGUAAAACUCUGUUAUUAGGGAAGAACAAAUGUGUAAGUAACUAUGCACGUCUUGACGGUACCUAAUCAGAAAGCCACGGCUAACUACGUG